AAAGGCCCAGGUUUAAUGGGUAAUCCGCUCCUGGAUGAUUUCCGGCCACCCAGAGAGGAGACAGGAAAGAGAGACAGAGAAAGUGCCUGGAAAGAGCUGUACUUUGCCGAAGCUGUGUCCCUUCCUCGGGAACUAAACAAGCACCUGGUCCCAGAGUCAGAAAAAAAAUGAAGGGUAUCCAAGGUAGGAGUCAACUGCGAGGCCUCCCCACUCCAGGUCUCCUGGAUCAUCCUUCCUGAGCCAGAUCCGGACAUUCGGGCAAAGAAAGACUCAAGAACAGACUCUUGAACUAAGUAUUUGAGAGGUUACUUGCUAACAAUCCUAGGGCCCUGAGCGCCUGUGGCAUCUUUCUCCCUAGCUUCCUCUGCUGCCAUCCUGCCCUUCGUCCUCAUUUUCCCUGCCCUUGCUCUCCCCCAUCGCGGCUUCCUCCUGGUCCUUGGGUCACUGGGUCAUCCCACCAGCCAAAGGGUUUCACACCCAGACGCCUAUCCUCCUUGGCGGCUUGCCCCGCUGCACCUGUGGUCACUUCUGCCGCCGUUGCCACUUCCUCCGCAGGAGGGGCGAGUGGGUGAGCAGCAGGCUGCAGGAGGGCGACUGCCUUGCUAGCCUCUGUGAGGAAGUCCUCUGUCACCCAGCCCCCAUGGCAGCUUAGGCUCUCUGACAACACCUAAGACUCCUUCUGGAAUUCUGGGAACUCAGUCUGCGGGCAGAAAGGAGACCUCAGAAUCUAGGAACUUCGUUGGUUUGUGUUGCUUUGCUUCGGUUAGGUUUCCCUUUCCUUUGAAAGGUGGUGGCCGCUCCUUUGGGCAACAGCUGGCCUCCCCUCCCCCCAUUAUAGGCUUUUCUUCUCUCUGCCGAUUCUGUACUUUUCUCACCCAGUGUAAUCAUUAGCAAGCACUGACAGUGAAUAGCAAUAGAAAACCCGAAAUGAGAAUUAGCUGCUACAGCCUUGGAUCUGACUUGGUAAAAUCCAACUGAGUAGGUCUGAUUCAUUCACCUGCCAUGUUUGGUGCUCUCCUUUCAUGCUUGGGAAGCAAGGGUCACACUUGUCCUAAGAAAUAAAAUCUGGUGGUUCAUUUUCAAAAACAAAAACAGCUUGAGUCAGCCGACAUCCAACUAUAAAUAAACAGGAAACACUGGGACUCUAGGGCAGGCAGCCUGCUACCUUAGUAGCCCCCCAUGCAAA